AGAAGUUAGUCAUGACAAGAAGGUCGUGAUAGGUGGCAAUGUUGUACCCACCUCAAUAUUGCACUUGUCCCGGCCUUUUUGC
rnacentral:pre_miRNA from 1 species